rnacentral:lncRNA from 1 species
CUAGAGAUAUGCAGACAGUUAGCUUCUAAUAGAGUCAUGGUGGUAUUAACAGCUAGAGAUGAGAAGAGGGGUCUUGAAGCUGUGGCAAAGCUUCACGAAUCUAGCCUGUCUAAUGUAGUUUUCAUCAGCUUGAUGUGAUGGAUGCCAAUAGUAUCACUUCCUUGGAAAAAUUCAUUGUAACCCAUCAUGGGAAGCUUGAUAUUUUAGCAAGGAAUCGAGCAUUUUGUGAGGAGCAUUUUUUUACUCAUUUUUCUUCUGCUAGGGGAAAAAAGGGAAAAAAAUCUUGGGGAUUUGAGAGUUUGAGAUUAGUAUGAUACCUCACUUACAGGGCUUUGAAAAUUUUAUACCUCAAUAAGGAAGAAAAGCAAAAACAUUUUAAUCAUGUAGGGAAACAUUUCUUGUUGCCUUACUUCAUCUUACCAUGAUAAGAACAAUAAAAGCAAAUUUAAGAAUACAAGAAAAUCGAAAUCAGGUAAGCUGCCAUUCAUUUGGAGUGAGUGCAAGCCAGGUGAGAAUAAAUAUAACAGCAAUAUAAAGAGAAUCAGAGGGAUUCCAAAUUGAUCAGCAAUAUGAAAUCAAAAUUUUAUGCAGGUGAGUAAUGCAGGGGUUAGUGGAGCCAUUGUCGACUGGGAAGCAAUUAAGACCUUAAAACUUGAGGACGGUAAGGUAUGUAAUUACAUGCUCUUGAAAACUCAUCACCAGGAACACUAAGCUCAUCUCAAUGUCUAUCAAAGAUAUAUUGCAAUGGAUAAAUUUAAAGAGUCAGAUAUCAUCAAUGAUUGAAUAUUGCUUCACUGAUGCAGAAUAAUACUAAUGUAGCUGAAUUGCUGAAUAAAGCCUCAAAGCAAACUUAUGGGUUGGCUGAAGAAUGUGUAAAAACAAACUGCUAUGGCACCAAAGGGGUGACUGAGGCCCUUCUUCGAUGCCUUCUGCUAUCAAAUUCAGGAAGAAUUGUGAACGUGUCUGGAGGUCUUGGAAAACUUCAGGUAUGUAAAUGUAAUUGCACCUUCACGGGGAAAUGAUAAAACCAAAUUCGAACUUUAUAAUGCAUGAGUCAUGUCUAGCAUUUCCAUUAAUCAUAAGAUUAAUGUUGAGUUCUUCCUUAUUUUAUCAGUUUGUCCCCAGUGAAAGGGUUAGAAUGGAGCUAAAUGAUGUUGAUGUACUCUCAAUAGAGACAGUAGAUGAGAUAGUAAAUGAAUUCCUCAAGGAUGUUAAGGAUGACAUGUUACAUGACAAAGGCUGGCCAACUCAGACAUCUGCAUAUACAAUCUCCAAAGCAGCCAUGAAUGCUUACACAAGGAUUGUUGCCAAAUCAUACCCAAGUCUCCUCAUAAAUUGUGUUUGUCCUGGUUUCGUCAAAACCGAUAUGACUUCCAACACUGGUCUCUUCACUGUUGCAGUGGGUGCCAAAGGCCCUGUUAUGUUGGCUUUGCUUCCAGAGGGAGGACCUUCUGGCCUCUUUUUGGAAAAGAUGGAGGCAUCAACCUUUUGAUCAUAAGUCAGUUACAGGAAUGAGUUGGUUUCCGGCUUUAUGUAUUUCCUAUGGUUGUAUUUGUAAGGUUAUCCAACUUUUCCUAUUGCUUUGCUGAGACAACGGGGUAAUGAAUGUGAAGCUUCUCUUGUAUUCAGAGUUAUAAUCAUGAACUUUAGCUGUCUGUGACAAUUGAUAAUCCUUUUAAAAGUAGGAACUAGGAAACCAGUCUCAUUUCAAUAUAUGCAAAUUAAUUCUUAUUUAAUAAAGAAAUUCCACGGGAUAGGACAUGGGAUUGGAAGCUCAAUUUGAACUGGCAUUCAGGUAUUUCAUCUAAUUUCUUUAAUGGUUAUCCGCUCUUGUAAGAAAUUGUUCAGUUCUCCGCAUUUCUAUCACUUACAACUUGUUUCUCUCUGCUGGCUUAAGGAAGUAGAGGACAGAGCAGGUGAAUCAUUACCUAAAGCUCAUGAUGCCAACAAAGUUUUGCAAUCUCAACAGAAGACGUCCUGCCAGAAGUCAAUGUAGUCACAAGAAUCUACAAUAACUCAAUAGAAUAUUUGGUGUCCCCUUGUCGGGAAGGUUGUGUUUGCAGCCAGCUAUUUGAAAGUAAUAUGACAAACUCCAAUCAAUUGGAAUAUGAAAUUUGACUCUCAAAGGAAAAUAUUAUCUUUCUCAUGCACUCUUGGUUGACACCAUUUUAUGUUCUUAAAUUGCCCCUCUUUGCCUUCAUGUUAGCUAUAAUCUUGUCUCCAUAUCAGCAGCAAGCCCCCUCCGUGUCACAGGAGAGAUUGAAAAUUUUAAAAACAAAAAAAUCUGAAUUUGAAACUCAUGAAAAAUCACCCGACUCGACAAUCGACAAUCGACUAUUAUUUCUCUAAUUUGAAACUUUUCUUCUAUUUGAUUUGGGAACAUUUCUCUCUCUCUCUCUUGGUUUCAUCACCCACACAAUCUCAAGAUCCAUCUAAAAUUUCCCAAAAAUGGUCUCAUUUGAGAGAAAAAAAAUCAUUAAUUCAAAACUACAACCUAUGUGUUUCUCUCUUGUCCAGGUAAAAUUGCAACAAAAUGGAUCAUUCCAUCUUAAGAAUGUUCGAUUAAAAGACAACUUCAAGAGACACAUAUGUGAUUGUGAAUUUACUACAACAACGUGUACUCGAACGAAAAGGUAAAAUCCAAAAUAUUGGGUUCAUUAACAAGAUAUCUCUUCUUGUCAUUGAGUCGCAUUUUACCCUAACCCCAAAUUGAAAUUUGAAGGUAAAUAAUUUUUAUUUAUUGUUCUUUUAGUUCAUUUGUUUGAAACCAAUUAGAGAGAAGAAAAGUUUCAUAUUAGGGAAAUAACAGCCGAUCGGGUGAUUUUUCGUAUAUUUCAAAUUCAGAUUUUUCUAUUUUUAAAAUUUUAAGUUUCUCAUGUGACAUGGAUGGCUUGCUGCUGAUAUAGUGAAGGCAAGGAGGGGCAAUCUAGGAACAUAAAACGGAGUCAGCAAAGAUUCCACGAUAAAGAUAAUAUUUUACUUUUGACGGUCAAGUCUCAUAUUACAGCUUAGUGAAUUUGAUUGUCAUGUCACUUUCAAAUAGUUGGCUGCGAACUCAACUUUCCCUUGCAUUUAAAACAAUGAAUAUAUCGAUUGAUAAUGGCCUUUAAAACGAUGACAUUGUCGGCCCUGCAAUGAAAUCCCCAACGCUCAAACACCACCAAGCCACCUACGGAUAGAGAGAGAGAGAGUGGGGAACUUAGCAAAAGCAGAGAGCUUCCUCUGCAACCCACGCCCACGCCCACGCCCACGCCGGUGACACUAUGGAGACGAAGUAGAGAGAUGAGAUACCAGCACCCAAGAUCGUCGCCAAUGUAGGAGGAGGGAUCCACGAAGGUGUUGCUGUCCACCCCGUGGUGAGGUUAGCAAAGAAAUGCCCUUAACCUCCUCUUCUCAGACACCUCAAAGACAAUCACGGCUUGGACUAAAAAACUUUUCAAAGACUUCAUCGGGGUCAUCUUUUUCAUCACGGGUCUUCAAUCAUGGGUCGUGAUUCUAGUCAAAAAAUUUUCCUUUUGAAGAGUUAUUGAUUUUUCAAAAAUUUGUCAGUUUGUUGUUUUGGUCUCUCUCUCUCUCUCUCUCUCUCAGUUUUGGGUGCUGUUUUGCUGUGAUUUGAAAGGAAAUUUGUUUGUUUAGAGUUUACCUCAAAAAAGUUUCGGUAACUCGGAUGAUUCGCCCGAGUGAACUCGGUAUCUCGACCGAAUCAACUGAGUUUAACCGAUUCCUGGCCGAAGAUGGUAUCGGGUAUCGGACUCGGCGCGGAACCAUGCAGCAUUGACUAUCAUGGUUGGGAAAUUAUUCAGUUUUUGCCUUUAGGUAUUAUAUUCUUACUGGUCAGGUCAGAUGUUUGGGGUCACAUUAUAUAGUCAUGCCCAGAUCCCGUAUUUCAAACAAGAAUCUGCUGCGGAAACUUGCAGAAGAUUCUUUUUGGAUUUGAUAAUUUUAAACAUUUGGCUUGGGGCUUGGAUUAUUCUGCUCAAAAUCUUCAAUAAGACAAAAACUUUUGAAGAAACUAUAAAGAAUAUUCAAAUUGCAUGGCGAAAUUCCUAUAAAAACUAUGCUUUUGUACAUACCUAUAUAUAGAUGACCAUGUCCCAAGAUGUCCAUAUAAAAUUAUGUCUGAGUUGGUAUUGAUCUUGUCAACGUCCAACUUUACUAUAUCUUAUAUUAAGCUUAUAUAGCAAUCAUCAUCAAAUGAAAUUAAUUAGAAAUACAAUAAAAUUGCCCGACAGAGGCCUAUUCAAAGGUGGAAUGAAGAUUGUAUAAUUUGUAUUGGUUGAUUUUGUAGAGGGGUGAGAAUCACUCUGUGCUGGAGAUCACCAUUUACAAGAAGGUUUGCAUUAAAGGGUACCUGGAUAAGUGUUCAGUUAAACCUAGCAUUCCUCUUCUGAUCCAAAAGAAAAUGGCAUCAACCACCUCAGAUUCAACAACAAUGAGGUAUGGCCUUUUUUUAAGCUACUAGUUGUAGACUGCAACUCAUAGCUGUUGAGAAUAAAAAGCAGUAGCAUAUUCUUAAUUACUAUUUAUUUUUGGUUUUCAGAUAUGCAGUUGUAACUGGAGCAAGUAAAGGAAUUGGACUAGAGAUAUGCAGACAGUUAGCUUCUAAUGGAGUCAUGGUGGUAUUAACAGCUAGAGAUGAGAAGAGGGGUCUUGAAGCUGUGGCAAAGCUUCACGAAUCUAGCCUGUCUAAUGUAGUUUUUCAUCAGCUUGAUGUGAUGGAUGCCAAUAGUAUCACUUCCUUGGCAACAUUCAUUGUGACCCGUUAUGGGAAGCUCGAUAUUUUAGUAAGGAAUCAACCCUUUUUGGAAGGACAUUUUUUACCCAUUUUCCUUCUGCUAGGGAAGAAAAAAAAUACACCUUGGGGAUUUGGGAGCUUGAGAUUAGUAUGAUACCUCACUUAGAGGGCUCUGAAAAAUUUAUACCUCAAUCAGGAAGACAAGCAAAAACAUUUUAAUCAUGUAGAGAAACAUUUCUUGUUGCAUUACUUCAUCUUACUGUGAUAAGAACAGUAAAAGCAAAUUUAAGAAUAAAACAAAUGGAAAUCAGAUAAGCUGCAAUUUAUUUGGAGUGAUUGCAAGCCAAGUGAGUAUAAAUACGAUAGCAAUAUUAGGAGAAUCAGAUGGAUUCUAAGUUGAUCCGCAAUAUGAAAUCAAAAUUUUAUGCAGGUUAAUAAUGCAGGGGUUACUGGAGCUAUUGUCGACUGGGAAUCAAUUGGGACAGCAAUUAAGACCUUAAAGCCUGAGGAUGGUAAGGUAUGUAAGUACAUGCUCUUGAAAACUCAUUACUAGGAAGUCUAAGCUCUUUCUCAAUGUCUAUCAACCAUAUAUUGAAAUGAAUAGUUUUGUAGUUUCAUUUCUAAGUUUAAAGAGGACAGAGUCAGAUAGUAUCAAUGACUGAAUAUUGUUUCACUCUUGCAGAAUAAUGCUGAUCUAGCUGAAUUGUUGCAUAAAGGCAUGAAGCAAACUUAUGAGUUGGCAGAAGAAUGUGUAAAAACAAACUACUAUGGCACCAAAGGAGUGACUGAGGCCCUUUUUCCAUGCCUUCUGCUAUCAAAUUCAGGAAGAAUUGUGAAUGUGUCUUCAGGUCUUGGAAGCCUUAAGGUAUGUAAAUGUAAUUGCACCUUCAAGGGGAAAUUCUAAAACCAAAUUCAAAGUUUAUAAUGCACUAGUCCUGUGUAGCAUUUCCAUUAAUCAUAAGAUUAAUGUUGAGCUCUUCCUUAUUUUAUCAGUUUGUCUCCAAUGAAAGGGUCAGAAUGGAGCUAAAUGAUGUUGAUGUACUCUCAGUAGAGAGAUUAGAUGAGAUAGUGAAUGAAUUCCUCAAUGAUGUUAAGGAGAACACGUUACAUGACAAAGGCUGGCCUACUCAGACAUCUGCAUAUACAAUCUCCAAAGCAGCCAUGAAUGCUUACACAAGGAUUGUUGCCAAAUCAUACCCAAGUCUCCUCAUAAAUUGUGUCUGUCCUGGUUUCAUCAAAACCGAUAUGACUUCCAACACUGGUUUCUUUACUGUUGAAGUGGGUGCCAAAGGCCCUGUUAUGUUGGCUUUGCUUCCAGUGGGAGGACCUUCUGGCCUCUUUUUCCAAAAGAUGGAGGCAUCAACCUUUUGAUAAGUCAGUUAAGAAUGAGUUGGUUUUCUGCUUUAUGUAUUUCCUAUGGUUGUAUUUGUAAGGUUAUCCAACUUUUCCUAUGCUUUGCUGAGACAAUUGGGUGAUAGAUGUGAAGUUUCUCUCGUAUUCGGUGUUAUAAUUAUGAACUUUAGCUCUGUUUGUGACAAUUGAUAAUAUUUUUAUAAGUAGGAACUAGGAAAAACCAGUCUCAUUCUUACUUUGGAAUGUUCAUGUGUUAUUUAUCUCAUCAUAUGCAAAUUAAUUCUUAUUUGAUAAAGAGAUUCCACGGUGUUGAGUUUUUAUCUAAGUUCCUCAAUGAAUUGAGAUCGAACACCAAUCCAAGACAAAGAAAACAAUACCAAAAAUCAAAACAUAACAAAAAAAAAACAAAAAACAAAAAACAAGCAGGAUUUAUGUGGUUCAGAUCCAAGAUUGAAUUCUACAUCCAUAGAUUAAGAUCACCUCCAAAAAUCCAUUAAGAUUGAACCAGUUUACACCCUCAAGAACCUCUGAGAAUCAUCAAGCUCUCACUACAGUACAAAGAAAAAGACUCGCAUUCUGAAAUCCUCACUUCUUUUCUUCAAUUCAGAAACUCUUUUUUUUUUUUUUUUUCCUCUCACACCUUUAUACAAUGAGAUAUCUCUCAUAUACAUGAGUACAUGAAAAAUAUGCUAAGCAAAACAGGUGUGCGAGCUUACACUUUCAGUUAGUUAAUCAACUAACUCUACUUACGUGGCCAAUCAAUUUUGGACCACCAAUUUCCUCAUUCUCCACCUUGGUUCAUAAUUGAUUUUGGAUUCUUCGGAUGAUGAAUUUGAUCUGACUUAAUCAUUAGUUGCACACGAUUUAGACCAAAUCCGGGCAAUACCUGAAUUUGCUUACCGGUACAACUUUAGUUGCCAUGUCUUGUAGAUUAUCAAUUGCGGAAAUCUUCGCCAACUUCACUGUUCCUGAGCUUACCACUUCUCUAAUGAAGUGAUAUCUAAUAUCAACAUGUUUGAUCCUUUCAGGAAACAUGGGGUUUUUACAUAGCUGAAUUGCACUCUGGCUGUCUGAAAAUAUUUCCACUACACUAUUCAGCACUCCAAGCUCCUUGACAAGUCCUUGCAACCAAAGAGCUUCUUUCAUGGCUUUAGUAACUACUAUAUAUUCAGCUCCAGUGGUUGAAAGUGCUACUAUUGAUUGUAGCUGUGACUUCCAGUUGACAGGUCCUCCAAAUAAAGUGAAAUAUAACUAGUAGUUAACCUUCUUUUAUCAAGAUCCCUUGCAUAAUUUGAAUCCACAUAAUGUGUGAUACCAACACCUUCUUUAGAAGAUCCAAACUUCAAUCUUACCCAAGAGAUUCCCUCACAUAUCGUAGUAGCCAUUUAACUCCAUUCCAAUUUUCCUUACCUGGGUAAGCCAUAAACCUGCUCAAAACACUUAAUGAGCUAUAUCUGGUCGUGAGCAUACCACUGCAUACAUGAGUGACCUUGUAGCAUUAGCAUAUGGGACAUAAUUCAUUUCUUUUCUUUCAUCUUUAGAUUGAGGACAUUGUGUGAUGUAGGACAACCCUAAGAUGGUUGCCUACACUCAAGGGUAAGUGGACUAGGAUUUUAUUUUUAGGGUGUAAGGAGAGGAACAAGGAAUAAAUUUUAUGGUAGAGAAAAUUAUAAUAUAAUAAAUAAAGAGAAAGAAGAAACAAUGAAGAAAAGAUAGAAAACCUUAGAGUCUCACUAAAGCCUUCUAGGAGUCUCACCUAGAAGAAAAUCAAUGGAGUCUCACCAUUGAGGGUUGCAACCUUGCAAUGAAAGAAAAUAUAAUAUUAUUCAUAUCAAUUCAGUCAUUUGAUUUACAUUGAUUAAUCUAUUUAUAGGCUUCUUUAAGAAAUUCAAAGUUUACUAGGACUCUAAUAACCUAUUAUGAUUUUAAUUCUAAUUAUAACAUCUAAAGUCUACUAGGACUCUAAUAACCUAUCAUGACUCAAAUUCUAAUUAUAUUAUAACUCAACUAGCUAAUCCUAAUUAGAUUUCAACAAAUACCAAUCCCAAUUCAAUUCUAAUUAAUAUUAAUUCUACUUAAAGUUUACUUAGGUCUUCACUUUUUUCCUUAAAUAAACUUUAAAAGGUUUUCCCCCACCAAUUCUCCCCGGCUUGAAAGAACUCGGCUUCGACAAGUUAGAUGCUUGAUACAAUUCAUAGAGAUCGGGGUUAAGCUUCUGAAAAUCCGUUGUCGCAAUCCAUUUAUUCUCAGAGUGUGGUUUGCCUUGCCAUUUCACCAAAAAAUUUUGAUAUCCACCUUGUCGAGUAGACAUAAGUUGAUCAUCAAGAACAUACUCGAUCUCAGGACGUGGGCUAAGAGUAGGUGGUAAUUGAAGAUCCAACUCUUCACUUACAUCGUUGUGAUGGCCAUGGUAGAUAUACAAAUCUUCCACAUUAAAUAUUGGACUAAAAUGCAAGUUUGAAGGGAGCUCUAACAAAUAAGCAUUCUCACCCAACCGCUUUAGUACUCGAAAUGGACCCAUUUUCUUAGCUUGAAGCUUUUGAUAUGUGCUCGAAUGAAAUCUUUCUGGCCAUAGACGAACCAUCACUAGAUCACCUUCUUGAAACUGAAUAUAUCUUCGAUGUGCAUUUGUUGCCUCUUUAUAGUUCUCAUUGCUGAUUUUGAUUUUUUCUCGUACCUUUUCAUGUAUAUCUCAUAUAUGACGUGCAAAUGCAUCACCAUCUUGGCUAGUGCAGAUAGAAGUAGGCAAUGGUAAAAGAUCAAUAGGUUGCUUAGGUUUCAACCCAUAUGCCACUUCAAAAGGUGAGUACCCAGUAGUACGAUUAGUGGAGCUGUUGAAAGCAAAUUCGGCUUGUGGUAAGACAUUGUCCCAAUUUCUCAACUGAUCUCUCACAGUGCAUCUCAAAAGAUUACCAAGGCUGUGAUUGACAACUUUUAUUUGUCCAUCAGUUUGAGGAUGAAAAUAAUUUGAAAACUUUAAUUGAGUACCUAGCUUGGCCCACAAGGUUUUCCAAAAAUAACUUAGAAACUUGACAUUGCGAUCAGAAACAAUGGAUUGUGGUAAUCCAUGCAAUCGAACUGCUUCUUUAAAGAACAAGGCAGCAACAUAAGAAACAUCUGAAGCCUUCUUACAUGGGAUAAAAUGUGCCAUUUUGGAAAAUCUAUCAACCACAACAAAUAUAGAAUCAAAGCCCCGUUGUGUCCUUGGUAAUCCAAGUACAAAAUCCAUGGUCAAGUCUUCCCAAGGUUCGGAUGGAAUUGGUAACGGUGCAUAUAACCCUGUAUUUUGCUUUGAAUCCUUUCCUACUUGACAUGCUCGACAUUGUUUGAUAACCUUCCAAACAUCCUUCUUUAAACUAGGCCAAAAAAAGCGAUCUUCCACCAAAGCAAUGGUCUUAUCUCGUUCAAAAUGUUUACCCAUUCCGCCUCCAUGAAGUUCCCAUAUGACAUGAUCACGUAGGGAAGUCCUUGGUGAGUAUAAACGAUUUUUAUAAAACAAGUACCCUUCUAAAAUUUGGAAAUCAAUACGUGUUGCUUUUGAACCACUCAAAAGAGAGGAAUGAACAUCUCCAAAAUCAGCAUAAUUGUCAUAGCAAUGCUCUAAUUCUUCAAAUCCAAUUGUAGUGGCUAACAUGUUUACUAAGAGAAGGGCCUUCCUACUAAGGGCAUUGGCUACUUUAUUUUCAAUUCUUGCACAAUGCUUUAAAUUAAAGGCAAACAACUGAAGAAAACUACUCCAUUUUGCAUGUUGAGAGUUAAGCUUCUUUUGAGAAUUAAGAUAUUGCAAGACUUUAUGAGCUGAAUACAAAACAAAUUCCUUAUAACUGAGAUAAUGUUGUCAAUGCCUAAUUGCUUGCACCACCCCAUAGAAUUCAAGAUCAUAUGUGGAGUAUUUUUUUUCUUUGCCCCAUUGAACUUCUCACUAAAGAAAGCCACAGGAUGUCCCUCUUGGCUAAGAACUGCUCCAAUUCCCACAUGGGAAGCAUCACAGGCCACCUCAAAUACUUUCUCAAAGUCUGGUAGACGUAGGAUAGAAAGGUUCACCAUCUUGGAUUUGAUUUCUUCAAAUGCCUUGUUGGUCGCCUUAGUCCAAAUAAAUAAACCAGGUUUCACGCAUUUAGUAAUUGGGACCAUAAUAGAGCUGAAAUUUCAAAUAAAUCGUCUAUAAAAUGUAGCCAUUCCAUAGAAGCUUCGCACCUCAUGGAUAUUUGUUGGUACUGGCCAAUCAACAAUAGCUUUAAUCUUCUUCGGAUCUGUUUCAACACCCUUAGAAGACACAACAAAGCCAAGAAAUACAACACUAGGGCUCAUGAAAGUACGUUUUUUCAAAUUAAUGUAAAAAUUUUCAACCUUAAGAGUGUGCAUUACUUGCUUCAAGUGUUCUUCAUGAUCUUCACAAAAUCGACUAUAGAUAAGAAUAUCAUCAAAAUAGACAACAACAUAACCCGCAUGAAGGUACUUGAAGCAUUGGUUAGUCCAAACGGCAUGACUAAUCACUCAUACAAUCCAUUCUUAGUUUUGAAAGAUGUCUUCCAUUCAUCCCCUUGUCUAAUACAUAUUUGAUGAUAUCCACUUCUUAGAUCAAUCUUUGAGAAGAUUACUGAUCCAACCAUCAUAUCUAGCAUGUCAUCAAGUCUUGGAAUUGGAAAUCGAUACUUGAUUGUGAUUUUGUUGAUUGCACGACUAUCCACACACAUCCACCAGGAUCCAUUAUUCUUUGGUGUUUGUAGGGCAGGAACUCCACAAGGACUUAGGCUUUCACGAAUAAAGCCUCUAGUAAGUAAUUCAUCAACUUGCCUUUUCAAUUCAGCAUGCUUUGUUGGAUUCAUUCUGUAGGCUGGUAAAUUUGGUAAUGAUGCAUCGGGAAUCAAAUCAAUGGCAUGUUGUAUGUCACGCAUAGGAGGGAGUUGAUUAGGUAACUCUGCAGGCCACAAGUCAGAAAAGUCAUCAAGGAUUUUACGUACGUUUGUAGGAUAUUCCUUAUCUUGUUCUUUAAAUUCUUCCACUUUCCGAGCCAUCAAAGCAAAAAUAACUUUAGUUUCCUUGCUCUCAUUUUCAAAUUGACACAUAGUAAGUACCUUUUUUGGUUGUGCAUUCUCCUCCGACUUCUUAAUUGGAGGGACUUCUUUUAUUGGACGAAGGAUCUUCUUACGUCCGUUGUGUAUGAGAGCAUAUAUAUUUUCAUAGCUAUCAUGUUGAACUCUUCUAUCAAAGAGCCAAGGUCUUCCAAGUAAAAUAUGACUUACUUUAAUGGGUAAGACCUUACACCGUACAGACUCUUCAAAGUCCUUACCAAAAAGGAAUGUUACUAAGCAGUGAAAACUUAUCGGGAUAGAGGUGUCAUUAACCCAUGCUACUUUGAAUGGAUUUGGAUGUCUCUCUGUUUUAAGGUUUAGCUUCUCAACAAGUUCUUGUGAAGCUAUCUUCAAACUGCUACCCCCAUCAAUGAUUAUGGUGCAUAAUCUCCCUUGACAAGAAAUACGUGUUUGGAAAAUGCUAGCAUGUCGCCAAUCUUCUUCUCGUUGGGACAAUUAAUAAAGGUCGUACUACAAGACUAUGUCCUUCCGUCAUACCAUCAUAGUAGUCACAUUCUUCACUAACUUCAUCUUCAUUGUAGGUCUCUUCUUCCUUUGGGUAACUUUCCAAUUCAGAUUAUGGUUAUUUAACACAAAAGUGUGAACCUUUGGUUAGGCAUACAACAACAUAAUGACCAUGCCCACCACACUUAAAGCAUAAAGGAGUCACGUCUACUUUUCUAUCUCCAAUACUCAUUGAAGUUUUACCCUUAUUACCAUUCUUAUGAGCCACAUUCAAAGUUUGUUGAGUGUUGCCCUCACCAUUCACAUGAUUAGAAGUUUUGAAGUUUGAUGUGCUUAAAGGUUUACUUGUUGUCCUGUUGGAGAAAGUGCUCCCAAUUUGUGAACUUGGAUGCUUGGAAACCCGAAAUUUGAGGCCUUCUUCUAUUUUGAGGGCUAGUUGAUAAACGUCAUCUACGGUAUUAGUGUGUGCAACUAUCAUCUCAAGUUGAAUCUCCAUUCGAAGUCCAACUUUGUAGCGGGUUGCAAGUUGAGCAUCACUUUCCCACACUUGAUUUCGAAUGCUCAAUUCAUGAAAUUCUUCUGUAUAUUCUUCAACGGACUUGGUACCUUGUUUAAGGGAAAACAAUUUUGUAUACAUAAGUUAUUCAUAAUCAAUUGGGAGAAAGUGCUCCUUCAUCUUCAACUUCAUCUCGUCCCAUGUGUCAAUAGGCGGUUGGCCAAUUCUAUGAACUUGAUUCUCAAUAUUAUGCCACCAUAGACGUGCUGCUCCUUUCAACUUUGCUUUCACAAAACGAACUUUUCUAUUUUCAGGCAUUGUAUACCAAUCAAAGUAAUCUUCCAUUGACAUAAUCCAAUCAAGAAAAGCUGUUGGAUUUAGUUUUCCAUAAAAUUCAGCAACUUCAAGACGUACCUUUUUUGUCAUAUCAUCAUCUAGCUCAAAAAGUUUGGCCCUUCUUUGAUUCCCCAUCAUAAAAUUGUCUUGUUCUUCGCGUGAUCGAAUUGGUGAUUGUCUAAAUUAAUGACUUGCGAUCUCCUCUUCAAUUGGUCAUUUUUCUUGACUCUUUUCUAAUAAUUUCAUAAUCUCAUCAAGUUUGCUAUUUAGUUGUAUUAUAGCAUCUUGAUGGGAUUGUUGUGUGGCUGAAAUUUCCUCCAAGCAUAUUGUAGCGGCAUCUUGAUUGCUAGAAGUUUUUUUGGAACUCAUGCUUGCAUAAGUUUCUCCACUCCUUAAUUGCAUAUGCCUUCAAGCCAAGAACCUUGGCUCUGAUACCAAAAUUAAUAUAGGACAACCCUAGGAUGGUUGCCUACACUUAAGGGUAGGUGGACUAAGGGUUUUUUUUUAGGGUGUAAGGAGAGGAACAAGGAAUAAAUUUUAUGGUAAAGAAAAUUAUAAGAUAAGAAAUAGAGAGAAAGAAGAAACAAUGAAGAAAAGAUGGAAAACCUUAGAGUCUCAUUAAGGCCUUCUAAGAGUCUCACCUAGAAGAAAAUCAAUGGAGUCUCACCAUUGAGGGUUGUAACCUUGCAAUGAAAGAAAAUAUAAUAUUAUUCAUAUCAAUUCAUUCAUUUGAUUUACAUUGAUUAGCCUAUUUAUAGGCUUCUCUAAGAAAUUCAAAGUCUACUAAGACUCUAAUAACCUAUUAUGAUUCUAAUUCUAAUUAUAACACCCAAAGUCUACUAGGACUCUAAUAACCUAUCAUGACUCAAAUUCUAAUUAUAUUAUAACUCAGUAGUUAAUCCUAAUUAGAUUCCAACAAAUACCAAUCCCAAUUCAAUUUUAAUUAAUAUUAAUUCUACUUAAAGUUUACUUAGGUCUUCACUUUUUUCCUUGAAUAAACUUUAAAAGGCUUUUCCCCAUUAUUGUGUCGUUGACAAUCGAAAAUGUCCAGCUAAUGGUAUACUUAUAGGUUUUGAAUUCUCUAAGGAAAACCUUUUCAAAACUUUUUCUAAGUAGCCCUUUUAUGGCAAAAACAAAGUACGUCCUCUCUGUUUCUUACAAUUUCCACCCUGAGUAUUCUUCUUGCUUUCCCAAGAUCCAUCAUAUCAAAUUAUGACUUUGGAAUCCUCUUCACCUCUUGAAUUUGUGACUUAUCUUUGCAAGCCAAUAAUGUAUCAUCAACAUAUAUUAGAAGAAACAUCAUCAGUCUUUCUUGUAAUUUCUUGUAAUAGAAGCAACCAUCAUAACUGCUCCUUUUGAAAUCAAUCUUUGGUAUAAAGGUAUCAAACCAUUUAUACCACUGUCUUGGGGAUUGUUUCAAUCACCAUAACUGCUCCUUUUCUGGCUCUUUAAAACCUUCAGGCUGAGUCAUUAGAAUUUUUUCUUUGAAGUCUCCAUGCAAAAAGACAGUUUUAACAUCCACUCCAAUUCCCAAUCAAGCUAAGCUACAAUGGACAUCAAUACUCUAAUUGAGGUAUGUUUCAACACUAGAGAGAACACUUCGGUGUAGUCAAUGCCCUCUCUCUUAGUAUACCCUCAAUCCACUAAUCUAGCUUUGAACCUUACUAGUUCAUUCUCAGUGGCACCUUGUUUCCGCUUGAAUAUCCAUUUACAACUUACCACUUUCUGAUUUGGCUUUCUUUCUAUAAGCACACAGGUCUGAUUUUUCUGUAAGGAUUCAAAUUCUUCAGUCAUUUUUGUGAGCCAUUUUAUUGAUUCAUUGCAGUUUAUAGCUUCUUGUUAAGAGAGUGGCUCACUCUCUUCAUACUCCAUAGUAGUCACUAGAGCAUAGGCAGUCAGAUCUGCAAAACCAAAUCUGGGGGUUUUAUGUUCCUCUUAGCCCUAUCCCUUGACAAGAGAUAAUCAGGACCUGCUUCUUGUGAGCUAGUGCCUGCACCACCUUCAACAUUUGAACCUGUCACCUUAGUAUCUUCUGUCUCUAGGCCACCAUGUGCUAAAUCUUUUUGUUAAUCAUGACCAUCCUGAGAUGAUAACUCCACUUCUAUCUCAAAAUGGUCUUUGUCAAGUGUCAAGCUCCUGUUUUUAGAAUCUUUCUCUGUACCUGCAGUGUUAGUCCUCAUGGAAAACAUUUCAUUUUCAUUAAACACAACAUCAUGGCUUAUUAUUAUUUUAACACUCAGAGAUUCCUUAUUCCACAGCCUAUAACCUUUGACACCCUCUGGAUAGCCUAAGAAGAUACAUUUUAUUGACCUUGGUUCUAAUUUUCUUUCCCUUUGGUGAACGUAAGCCGUGCAACUGAAGAUUCUAAGGUGAUCAUAGUUAGAAGGUUUUCCAACAAAGCUCUUUUGGAGUUUUAAAGUCUAUAGCACUAGAUGGAGUUCUAUUUACAAAAUAGCAAGCUGUCAUUAUAGCUUCACCCCAAAAAUGUUUAGAUAAACCAGAACUGUACAACAUACACGUCACUCUAUCUAACAAUGUUCUAUUCAUCCUCUCUGCUAGGUCAUUUUGUUGAGGUGUAUUUCUUACUGUUUUGCAUCUUAAGAUAACCUGAUAUUUACAAAACAUUUCAAAUUCCUCAUUACAAUACCCAAGUCCAUUAUCUAUCCUUAACACCUUUACUCUUUUAUUAGUUUGAUUUUCAAUCAAAGCCUUCCACUCCUCAAUCUUAGCUAAGGCAGUAUGUUCAUCUUUAAUUUUUAACAAGUAUAGCCAAACUUUUCUAAUCAUCAAUCAAGGAUAGAAAGUACCUGUUUCCACGGUGAGUAGAGACUUUUGCAGGCCCCCAUAAAUCUGAAUGCAUAUAUUCUAGUAUAUCCUUUGACUUGUGUGUUGCAGCUUUGAAUGUCAACCUAUGUUGUUUGCCAAAAAUACAGUACUGACAAAAAUCAAUCUUACUGAUGCUAUCCCCACACAACAGGCCCUGCUUGUGCAGUUCUUUUAGACCUCGAUCACUUAAGUGACCAAGUCUUCUAUUCCAAAGAACUGUUUUAUCAUUUCAAUUCUUAACACUGAUCCCAACAAACCUUUUGACGUGUGAUCUUCUAGGAUAUAUAAGCCAUUCCUCUUCAGAUCCUUCAUGACAACCAUAACACCUUUUGAAAUUGUUAAUUUCCCAUUUUCUGCUUUGAAGUUACAACCUGAUUCGUCCAAACUUCCAAGAGAUAUUAGAUUUCUCUUCAGGUCUGGUACAUGCCUGACCUCUUUGAGAGUUCUUGUCAUUCCAUCAAACAUGUUAAUAGCCACAGUACCAAUGCCAACCAUGCUGCAGUUCAUGUUGCUUCCCAGUAUCACCUUUCCACCAUUAACUUCUUGAUAGGAUGAAAACCAAUCUCUUCUUGGACACAUAUGAUAGGUGCAACCUGAGUCCAAGAUCCAUUCUUCAUGAUUUUGGUUCAAUGUAACAGUGAGUACCUCUACACUGUCAUAGCCAUCAUCUACAAUGGUAGCACUUCCUUGUACUUGAGUCUUUUCUUCUUCUUGUCGAUCUGGACAGAUUCUUCUCCCAUCUUGUUGCAAUGAUAACACUUGACAAUCCUAUAAUCUUUCUUACCUUUGGACUUUGAUCCUGAACAAGAUUUUCCUCUGUUUCCAUUGUUAUUUUUGUUCUGAGGUCUUCCUCUAACAGUUAAACUUUCACCACUGUUGGUUUUGUCAGAGGACUUCAUAUCCAACACCUUAGCAUUCAAGGCAUUCUGAACAUCAUCAAAUGUAAUGGCAUCUCUGCCAUAUUUCAGGGUUUCUUUAACAUGCUUCAAAGAUUUAGGUAGAGAGUUUAAGAGAAUGAUUGCCUUAUCUUCAUCCUCCAUCUUAAUGUCCAAACUCUCUAAAUCCAACACCAAUUUAUUAAACUCAUGUAAGGCAUACUGAAGUAUUAAUGACUGAAUAUUGUUUCACUGUUGCAGAAUAAUGCUAAUGUAGCUGAAUUGCUGAAUAAAGUCUUAACACAAACUUAUGAGUUGGCUGAAGAAUGUGUAAAGACAAACUACUAAAGCACCAAAGCAGUGACUGAGGCCCUUGUUCCAUGACUCCUGCUAUCAAAUUCCGGCAGAAUUGUGAAUGUGUCUGCAGGUCUUGGAAAGCUUGAGGUAUGUAAAUGCAAUUGCAACUUCAAGGGAAAAUUCUAAAACCAAAUUCAAAGUUUAUAAUGCAUUAGUGAUAUCUAGUAUUUCCAUUAAUCAUGAGACUAUUCUUGAGUUCUUCCUUAUUUUAUCAGUUUGUCUCCAAUGAAAAGGUUAGAAUGGAGCUAAAUGAUGUUGAUGUACUCUCGGUAGAGAGAUUGGAUGGGAUAGUAAUGAAUUCCUCAACGAUGUUAAGGACAUGUUACAUGACAAAGGCUGGCCAACUCAGACAUCUGCAUAUAUAAUCUCCAAAGCAGCCAUGAAUGCGUACACAAGGAUUGUUGUCAAAUCAUACCCAAGUCUCCUCAUAAAUUGAUAUUUGUCCUGGUUUUGUCAAAACUGAUAUGACUUCCAACACUGGUCUCUUUACUGUUGAAGUGGGUGCCAAAGGCCCUGUUAUGUUGGCUUUGCUUCCAAAGGCAGGACCUUCUGGCCUCUUUUUUGAAAAGAUGGAGGCAUCAACCUUUUGAUCAUAAGUCAGUUACAGGAAUGAGUUGGUUUUCUGCUUUAUGUAUUUCCUAUGGUUGUAUUUGUAAGGUUAUCCAACUUUUCCUAUUGCUUUGCUGAGACAAUGGUGUGAUAGAUGUGAAGGUUCUCUUGUAUUCAGUGUUAUAAUUAUGAACUUUAUAGCUCUGUUUGUGAUAAUUGAUAAUCCUUUUAAAAGUAGGAACUAGGAAACCAGUCUUAUUUCUUACUUUAGAAUGUUAUGUAUUAUUCAUCUCAUUAUAUGCAAAUUAAUUCUUAUUUAAUAAAGAAAUUCAUCGGGAUAGGACAUGGGAUUGGAAGCUCAAUCUGAACUGGCAUUCAGGUAUUUCAUCUAAUUUCUUCAAUGGUUAUCCGCUCUUGUUAGAAAUCGUUCAGUUCUCCACAUUUCUAUCACGCACAACUUGUUUCUCUCUUCUGGCUUGAGGAGGUAGAGGACAAAGUAGCUGAAUCAUUACCAAAAGCUCAUGAUGCCAACAAACUUUGCAAACCCAACAGAAGACGUCCUGCGAGAGGUCAAUGUAGUCACAAGAAUCUACAAUACCUCAAUAGAAUAUUUAUACAAACAUAUGGCAUUUUCGGCAUUUUUGCAGCAAUGGGAUAUUCUACUGCAUGCCAACAGGUUGAAGAAAAAGAGACAGUUGAAACUAAAAGGAUGGUUUACCCAUGUACUAUUAUAGCAAUUGACAUGGACUCAGAAAUCCUUUUGACAUGCCAUAAUUCAAUAUUUUCAUUCCUAAAGAAGCAUUUUUUUCUUAUUUGCCAUCUCUUACCAUAAUAAAUGAAUGUCGACCUAUCCUUAAAAGCCAAAAUGUGAUAUCUGCAUUGUUAGUCCUCAAACAUAUUCUGACACCUCAUGCUCUUGUCAACUUCUUGCACCUAUUCAACUAAUGCUAAAAGUGAAAAACAUGUCUUCCAUUCCCUUUGCUCAGGCGUUGUUUGAGGAGGCAAUCUUGUAGGUUCAAAUCACAGCAGAGGGAACCUAACGGGGACUUGUUUGAGAUAGAAGAUGCUAAAUUUCCAGUUGAUUGGCAUGAAGGUGGACUGGCUCCAUCUAAUUCACCGAUCAAAAAAGAAGAGGGAGAUGAAAGUUGGGUUGAAAAACAUGAAGUUCGAGGAUCACAGAGAUCAUCAGUGGGAAGACCUUUGCUCAGAGCUGCUGAGAAGGUCCAAUCCUAUAAGGAGGCUCCACUUAAUACCCAAAUGAGGAGAUUUGAGUGAAUAGAUUCUAAUUUGUACCAAGUUAUAACCUUUCAUAUAGUGAGGAGUUGAGCAAGAGCCAGUCAAGUCCUGAGGAAUACUAAAGUUUUAAUGACCAUGGAGUAUCUUGUUUGAUGAGUAAAUUUUAACAGAUGAUAAUGCCUACUUAUGAGAGAUGUAGAUUUCACAACAUUGACUUGCAUGGUUGGGAAAUUAUUCAGUUUUUACUUUUUAGGUAUUUUAUCCUUACAAGUCAGGUCGGAUCAGGUCAGGUCAGAUGUUUGAGGUUACAUUAUAUGGCCCAGAACCCGUAUUCCGGAAACUUGCAGAUGCGGAAAUAGGGCUAGUCAGCAGAAGAACUCGAACAAAUUUUACUACAAACAAAGGGGUCUGGUUUACUAGGGCCGUCAAUUACAGACUCCCGCUAUGGCUAUAAAUGAUAUCAGAUUAUUUUCAUUUUUCUAUUAGGAAAUAAAUCCUAAUUAUUUUGUAUUUUUGGUUUUUUGGUCAAGAAAUGUCGUGGGAGAUGGUGAAACUUAGAUGAUGUUUGUUUUUUUACUUAAUUCUAAAUAGAACUUUAAUGUUUAAUAAUGUUAUGCGUUAGAUUGUUUUUAUAAUAUGUUAUUUCUAUUAAAUAUUAAAAAAUAAGAAAAAAGAAAACCAACAUGUUACUUUUCCAUUUAGAAAAAGCCAAAAUAUUUUAUUUUUUCUAUUCAACAAAAAGUUUAUAAUAAUUUAUGAAAAUGUAGAAAAACAAAUAACUUAAAGUCUGAAAACAAAUUACUUUUGGUAAAAAGUUAAAAAAACAAACACCCUCUUAGGUGAUGUUUAUUUUUUUUACUUAAUUUUAAAUAGAACCUUAAUGUUUAAUAAUGUUAAAUAUUAGGUUGUUUGUUUUUAUAGUAUUUUAUUUCUAUUAAGUAUUAAAAAGUAAAUAAAAACUAAUAUGUUAUUUUUUUUAUUUAGAAAAAACUAUAUAUUUUGACUUUUUAUUUUUAAUAAAAAGUUUAUAAUAAAUUAUGAAAAGAUAGAAAAACAAACAACUUAAAAUCUGAAAACAAAUUACUUUCAGCAAAAAGCCAAAAAAACAAACACCAUCUUAGUUUUUUUUUUUAUAAUUUUAAGCAUUUGACUUGAAUUAUUAUGCUAAAAAAUCUUUAAUAAGAGAAAAACUUGUGAAAACCUAAAUGGAAUAUCCAAAUUGCAUGGUGAAAAUCCUAUAAAAACCAAGAUUUUGUGCAUACCUAUAUAAAGAUGACCAUGUCCAAAGAAGUCCAUAAAAAAUGACGUUAGAGUUGGCAUUGAUCUUGUCAACAUAUGUAACUUUAAUAUAUCUUAUAUUAAGCUUAUAUAGCAAUCAUCAUCAAGUGAAAUUAAUUAGAAAUGAUAUAAAAUUGAUGAACAAAUAACUAUUCAAAGGUGAAUUGAAUAUUGUAUUGGUUGAUUUUGGAGAAGGGUGAGAAUCACCAUGUGCUGGAGAUCACCAUUUACAAGGUGUGCAUGAGAAUCGCUAUGUGCUGGAGAUCGCCAUUUACAAGGUGUGCCUUACAAAGAACCUGGAGAAAUGUUCAGCUGAGCCUGACUUUCCUCAUCUGAUUCAAAAGAAGAUAGCUUCGACCAUCUCAGAUUCAGCAACAAUGAGGUAUAUAGGCUUUUUUUUAGCUACAACUUGUAAACCACAACUAAUAGCUGUUGAGAAUAAUGCAUCUACAUAUUCUUAAUUACUAUUUAUUUUUUAUUUUCAGAUGUGCAGUUGUAACUGGAGCAAAUAAAGGAAUUGGACUAGAGAUAUGCAGACAGUUAGCUUCUAAUGGAGUCAUGGUGGUAUUAACAGCUAGAGAUGAGAAGAGGGGUCUUGAAGCUGUGGCAAAGCUUCAUGAAUCUAGCCUGUCUAAUGUAGUUUUUCAUCGGCUUGAUGUGAUGGAUGCCAAGAGUAUCACUACCUUGGCAAAAUUCAUUGU